AUGAUGAACGCUAGCUACAGGCUUAACACAUGCAAGUCGAGGGGCAUCAGGAAGAAAGCUUGCUUUCUUUGCUGGCGACCGGCGCACGGGUGAGUAACACGUAUCCAACCUGCCCUUUACUCGGGGAUAGCCUUUCGAAAGAAAGAUUAAUACCCGAUGGCAUAAUGAUUCCGCAUGGUUUCAUUAUUAAAGGAUUCCGGUAAAGGAUGGGGAUGCGUUCCAUUAGGUUGUUGGUGAGGUAACGGCUCACCAAGCCUUCGAUGGAUAGGGGUUCUGAGAGGAAGGUCCCCCACAUUGGAACUGAGACACGGUCCAAACUCCUACGGGAGGCAGCAGUGAGGAAUAUUGGUCAAUGGGCGCUAGCCUGAACCAGCCAAGUAGCGUGAAGGAUGAAGGCUCUAUGGGUCGUAAACUUCUUUUAUAUAAGAAUAAAGUGCAGUAUGUAUACUGUUUUGUAUGUAUUAUAUGAAUAAGGAUCGGCUAACUCCGUGCCAGCAGCCGCGGUAAUACGGAGGAUCCGAGCGUUAUCCGGAUUUAUUGGGUUUAAAGGGAGCGUAGGUGGACUGGUAAGUCAGUUGUGAAAGUUUGCGGCUCAACCGUAAAAUUGCAGUUGAUACUGUCAGUCUUGAGUACAGUAGAGGUGGGCGGAAUUCGUGGUGUAGCGGUGAAAUGCUUAGAUAUCACGAAGAACUCCGAUUGCGAAGGCAGCUCACUGGACUGCAACUGACACUGAUGCUCGAAAGUGUGGGUAUCAAACAGGAUUAGAUACCCUGGUAGUCCACACAGUAAACGAUGAAUACUCGCUGUUUGCGAUAUACAGUAAGCGGCCAAGCGAAAGCAUUAAGUAUUCCACCUGGGGAGUACGCCGGCAACGGUGAAACUCAAAGGAAUUGACGGGGGCCCGCACAAGCGGAGGAACAUGUGGUUUAAUUCGAUGAUACGCGAGGAACCUUACCCGGGCUUAAAUUGCAGUGGAAUGAUGUGGAAACAUGUCAGUGAGCAAUCACCGCUGUGAAGGUGCUGCAUGGUUGUCGUCAGCUCGUGCCGUGAGGUGUCGGCUUAAGUGCCAUAACGAGCGCAACCCUUAUCUUUAGUUACUAACAGGUUAUGCUGAGGACUCUAGAGAGACUGCCGUCGUAAGAUGUGAGGAAGGUGGGGAUGACGUCAAAUCAGCACGGCCCUUACGUCCGGGGCUACACACGUGUUACAAUGGGGGGUACAGAAGGCAGCUAGCGGGUGACCGUAUGCUAAUCCCAAAAGCCUCUCUCAGUUCGGAUCGAAGUCUGCAACCCGACUUCGUGAAGCUGGAUUCGCUAGUAAUCGCGCAUCAGCCACGGCGCGGUGAAUACGUUCCCGGGCCUUGUACACACCGCCCGUCAAGCCAUGGGAGCCGGGGGUACCUGAAGUACGUAACCGCAAGGAUCGUCCUAGGGUAAAACUGG
rnacentral:rRNA from 1 species